ACCCAGAUGACGAGUCCCAAAUAGGACGAAACGCGCAUCGUGUAU
rnacentral:hammerhead_ribozyme from 1 species